ACCAGAAAUACCGUGGACAACAGGGCAACUAUCCCAUCAAGUUGUUCUACACGUCCAACAUGCCCAUCAUCCUCCAGACGGCACUUGUUUCCAAUCUUUA
rnacentral:ribozyme from 1 species